rnacentral:rRNA from 1 species
UGCUUGUCUUCAAAGAUUAAGCCAUGCAUGUCUAUGCACACGCCCUUGAAUGGUGAAGCCGCGAAAAGCUCAUUACAACAGCCAUAGUUUAUUGGAUGUGUACGUUCCUACAAGGACACCUGCGGUAAUUCUGGAGCUAAUACUUGCAAUAAACGACGACCUUACGGAAGUCGUGCAUUUGUUAGACUAAACCAAUCGGUUCUUCGGAACCGCCAUUUGGUGAACUCUGAAUAACUUAGCUGAUCGCACAGUCUCGUACUGGCGACGAAUCUUUCAAGUGUCUGCCUUAUCAACUUUCGAUGGUAGUUUACACGACUACCAUGGUUGUAACGGGUAACGGAGAAUAAGGGUUCGACUCCGGAGAGGGAGCCUGAGAAACGGCUACCACAUCCAAGGAAGGCAGCAGGCGCGCAAAUUACCCAAUCUCAGCACGAGGAGGUAGUGACGAAAAAUAACGAGGUGGCUCUCUACGAGGUCCAUCAUCGGAAUGGGUACAAUUUAAAUCCUUUAACGAGGAUCUAUUGGAGGGCAAGUCUGGUGCCAGCAGCCGCGGUAAUUCCAGCUCCAAUAGCGUAUACUAAAGUUGUUGCGGUUAAAAAGCUCGUAGUUGGAUCUGCGCUCGGUGAAAGCGGUCGCCCGAUGGGUUGUUACUGCUUCUCCCGGGCUAACCAUUCGGUUUUCCCUUGAUGCUCUUCAUUGAGUGUCCUGGGUGACCGGAACGUUUACUUUGAAAAAAUUAGAGUGCUCAAAGCAGGCGAUUUGCCCGAAUAUUCGUGCAUGGAAUAAUAAAAGAGGUCCUUGUAGCCUUUUAUUGGUUAUCGCUACGAGGAAAUGAUCGAAGGGGACAGACGGGGGCAUUUGUAUUGCGACGUUAGAGGUGAAAUUCUUGGAUCGUCGCAAGACAAACUACUGCGAAAGCAUUUGCCAAGAAUGUUUUCAUCAAUCAAGAACGAAAGUCUGAGGUUCGACAGCGAUCAGAUACCGCUUUAGUUCAGACCGUAAACGAUGCCAUCUGGCGAUCCACCGGCGUUAUGUAUGACUCGGUGGGCAGCCACCGGUAAACCUUUAAGUCAGGUUCCGGGGGAAGUAUGGUUGCAAAGCUGAAACUUAAAGGAAUUGACGGAAGGGCACCACCAGGAGUGGAGCCUGCGGCUUAAUUUGACUCAACACGGGGAAACUCACCCGGCCCGGACACUGUAAGGAUUGACAGAUUGAUAGCUCUUUCUUGAUUCGGUGGGUGGUGGUGCAUGGCCGUUCUUAGUUGGUGGAGCGAUUUGUCUGGUUUAUUCCGAUAACGAACGAGACUCUAGCCUACUAAAUAGACAGUACUUCUUUCGAGUACUGCGCUUCUUAGAGGGACAAGCGACGUCUAGUCGCACGAGAUUGAGCAAUAACAGGUCUGUGAUGCCCUUAGAUGUUCGGGGCUGCACGCGCGCUACACUGAAGGCAUCAUCAUGUCUAUCAGCCUACCCCGGAAGGGGCGGGUAACCCGAUGAAACGCCUUCGUGAUUGGGAUAGGGAAUUGCAAUUAUUUCCCUUGAACGAGGAAUUCCCAGUAAGUGCGGGUCAUCAGCUCGCGCUGAUUACGUCCCUGCCCUUUGUACACACCGCCCGUCGCUACUACCGAUUGAGUGACUCCUAAAGGAGUUCGGACUGGGCCCUGUGCGGUCGCAAGACUGCGCAGGUUGCUUGGAAAGUUCUCCAAUGGGAUUUACUUAGAGGAAGUAAAAGUCGUAACAAGGUUUCCGUAGGUGAACCUGCAGCWGGAUCAA